GGUAGGGUGGCUGAGGGCAUAAGCGGUGGGUUGUAGCUCCAUAAACAAAGGUUUAAAUCCUUUUCUUACCA
rnacentral:tRNA from 1 species